UAGCGCGGCUAACUCUGUGCCAGCAGCCGCGGUAAUACAGAGGGUGCAAGCGUUAAUCGGAUUUACUGGGCGUAAAGCGCGCGUAGGCGGCUAAUUAAGUCAAAUGUGAAAUCCCCGAGCUUAACUUGGGAAUUGCAUUCGAUACUGGUUAGCUAGAGUGUGGGAGAGGAUGGUAGAAUUCCAGGUGUAGCGGUGAAAUGCGUAGAGAUCUGGAGGAAUACCGAUGGCGAAGGCAGCCAUCUGGCCUAACACUGACGCUGAGGUGCGAAAGCAUGGGGAGCAAACAGGAUUAGAUACCCUGAGUAGUCCAUGCCGUAAACGAUGUCUACUAGCCGUUGGGGCCUUUGAGGCUUUAGUGGCGCAGCUAACGCGAUAAGUAGACCGCCUGGGGAGUACGGUCGCAAGACUAAAACUCAAAUGAAUUGCCGGGGGCCCGCACAAGCGGUGGAGCAUGUGGUUUAAUUCGAUGCAACGCGAAGAACCUUACCUGGCCUUGACAUACUAGAAACUUUCCAGAGAUGGAUUGGUGC
rnacentral:rRNA from 1 species